UACAGAGGGGGCUAGCGUUGUUCGGAAUUACUGGGCGUAAAGGGCGCGUAGGCGGUCAGGUCAGUCCCGUGUGAAAUCCCUCGGCUCAACUGAGGAACUGCACGGGAAACUGCCUGGCUUGAGUUCGGGAGAGGGAAGCGGAAUUCCGGGUGUAGCGGUGAAAUGCGUAGAUAUCCGGAGGAACACCGGUGGCGAAGGCGGCUUCCUGGACCGACACUGACGCUGAGGCGCGAAAGCUAGGGGAGCAAACGGG
rnacentral:rRNA from 1 species